rnacentral:rRNA from 1 species
CCUACGGGUGGCAGCAGUGAGGAAUAUUGGUCAAUGGGCGCGAGCCUGAACCAGCCAAGUCGCGUGAAGGAUGAAUGCCCUACGGGUUGUAAACUUCUUUUAUAAAGGAAUAAAGUGCGGCACGUGUGCCUUUUUGUAUGUACUUUAUGAAUAAGGAUCGGCUAACUCCGUGCCAGCAGCCGCGGUCAUCCGGAGGAUCCGAGCGUUAUCCGGAUUUAUUGGGUUUAAAGGGCGCGUAGUUGGGUUGUUAAGUCAGUGGUGAAAGUUUGUGGCUCAACCGUAAAAUUGCAAUUGAGACUGGCAGGCUGGAGUACAGGUGAGGUAGGCGGAAUUCGUGGUGUAGCGGUGAAAUGCGUAGAUAUCACGAAGAACUCCGAUUGCGAAGGCAGCUUACUAAACUGCAACUGACAUUGAUGCUCGAAAGCGUGGGGAUCAAACAGGAUUAGAUACCCCUGUAGUC